UACGUAGGGUGCGAGCGUUAAUCGGAAUUACUGGGCGUAAAGUGUGCGCAGGCGGCCAUGCAAGUCGAGUGUGAAAGCCCCGGGCUUAACUUGGGAAUUGCGCUCGAAACUACGUGGCUGGAGUGUGGCAGAGGAAGGUGGAAUUCCACGUGUAGCGGUGAAAUGCGUAGAGAUGUGGAGGAACACCAAUGGCGAAGGCAGCCUUCUGGGCCAACACUGACGCUCAGGAGCGAAAGCGUGGGGAGCAAACAGG
rnacentral:rRNA from 1 species